GAUCAUGGCUCAGAUUGAACGCUGGCGGAAUGCUUUACACAUGCAAGUCGAACGGUAGAGGGGGCAACCCUUGAGAGUGGCGAACGGGUGAGUAAUAUAUCGGAACGUGCCCAGUCGUGGGGGAUAACGUAGCGAAAGUUACGCUAAUACCGCAUACGAUCUAAGGAUGAAAGCGGGGGAUCGCAAGACCUCGCGCGAUUGGAGCGGCCGAUAUCAGAUUAGGUAGUUGGUGGGGUAAAGGCUCACCAAGCCAACGAUCUGUAGCUGGUCUGAGAGGACGACCAGCCACACUGGAACUGAGACACGGUCCAGACUCCUACGGGAGGCAGCAGUGGGGAAUUUUGGACAAUGGACGCAAGUCUGAUCCAGCCAUUCCGCGUGCAGGAUGAAGGCCCUCGGGUUGUAAACUGCUUUUGUACGGAACGAAAAGGUUUCUAUUAAUACUAGGAGCUCAUGACGGUACCGUAAGAAUAAGCACCGGCUAACUACGUG
rnacentral:rRNA from 1 species